UGUGGUGUAGUAGUGGUUUGAGCACUGGACUGCAACCCUGGAGACCAGGGUUCGAAUCCCUGCUCAACCA